UGGGGGAUAUUGCACAAUGGAGGAAACUCUGAUGCAGCAACGCCGCGUGAGGGAAGAAGGUUUUCGGAUUGUAAACCUCUGUCCAAAGGGAAGAAUAAAUGACGGUACCUUUGGAGGAAGCUCCGGCUAACUACGUGCCAGCAGCCGCGGUAAUACGUAGGGAGCAAGCGUUGUCCGGAAUUACUGGGUGUAAAGGGUGCGUAGGCGGCUAUGUGGGUCAGACGUGAAAUGCACGAGCUUAACUCGUGAACUGCGUUUGAAACUAUAUGGCUUGAGUGAAGUAGAGGCAGGCGGAAUUCCCGGUGUAGCGGUGAAAUGCGUAGAGAUCGGGAGGAACACCAGUGGCGAAGGCGGCCUGCUGGGCUUUUACUGACGCUGAGGCACGAAAGCAUGGGUAGCAAACAGG
rnacentral:rRNA from 1 species